rnacentral:sRNA from 1 species
AAAUUCCAGACAGGGCCAGCGUCGGGAGCACGUAGGAGGCGCCCCUCGGAAAGGAGCCGCAGACCCGGCUGACUUCGCACUUGAGCUCCAGCCCCGUGGACAUUUCCUGUUCUGCCUCUGGAAAUUCAAGCUGAAAGUUACAAAACAUCCUUUUCCCUGGAACCAAGUGCUUGGUUGGGAGACCAUGCCCUCCCCUUCCUUCCUCGGAACUCCUCCCUGAUCGCCCCGUGGCUUCCCCAGGAGAGAUGCGAAAUCAGCGGUAGCAGGUGGCGCAGAAGGGAGAGGGGAGCGACCCUGGGGACCGACUCUGGGGACCCCCGCCGAAGAGAAAAUAACUCUAAAAUCUGGACAUGAUACACAAAGUGACUGCCUAAAGGAGCUGAAGAGAGGACAUAAGUGGAUCGCCUCUGCUGUUGCAUGUUGGCUUGGAGAACAGAAGAUGAGGAGCCAAAUAAGCAAGUCCUUCAGCCCCAGGCUUCUAGCACGGGGCUGCAUGUAGGCUAUGCAUUCUGGGGAGUGAGGAGAUCAUGAAUGCUGAAAAUAAAUGAAGGAAUCCAGAAAAGCAAGAGUCAAAGAAGGCAUCUGCAGGCCAAAUCUCUGAUCAACCCCUGACCCACAUACACACAAAAUACACU